CGGUGCUGGGUGAAGGACACCGCGCCGGUUGGGGGCCGGCGAGCGCCGCGACCAUGGCCGAAGCCGGACUGUUCUUCUGGUCGGCCUCGGCCA
rnacentral:tRNA from 1 species